rnacentral:rRNA from 1 species
GACGAACGCUGGCGGCGUGCCUAACACAUGCAAGUCGAACGGAAAGGCCCUGCUUUUGUGGGGUGCUCGAGUGGCGAACGGGUGAGUAACACGUGAGUAACCUGCCCUUGACUUUGGGAUAACUUCAGGAAACUGGGGCUAAUACCGGAUAGGAGCUCCUGCUGCAUGGUGGGGGUUGGAAAGUUUCGGCGGUUGGGGAUGGACUCGCGGCUUAUCAGCUUGUUGGUGGGGUAGUGGCUUACCAAGGCUUUGACGGGUAGCCGGCCUGAGAGGGUGACCGGCCACAUUGGGCCUGAGAUACGGCCCAGACUCCUACGGGAGGCAGCAGUGGGGAAUAUUGCACAAUGGGCGGAAGCCUGAUGCAGCAGCGCCGCGUGCGGGAUAACGGCCUUCGGGUUGUAAACCGCUUUCGCCUGUGACGAAGCGUGAGUGACGGUAAUGGGUAAAGAAGCACCGGCUAACUACGUG